GAUGAACGCUGGCGGCGUGCCUAAUACAUGCAAGUCGAGCGAACAGACGAGGAGCUUGCUCCUUCGACGUUAGCGGCGGACGGGUGAGUAACACGUAGAUAACCUACCUAUAAGACUGGGAUAACUUCGGGAAACCGGAGCUAAUACCGGAUAAUAUUUCGAACCGCAUGGUUCGAUAGUGAAAGAUGGCUUUGCUAUCACUUAUAGAUGGACCUGCGCCGCAUUAGCUAGUUGGUAAGGUAACGGCUUACCAAGGCAACGAUGCGUAGCCGACCUGAGAGGGUGAUCGGCCACACUGGAACUGAGACACGGUCCAGACUCCUACGGGAGGCAGCAGUAGGGAAUCUUCCGCAAAGGGCGAAAGCCUGACGGAGCAACGCCGCGUGAGUGAUGAAGGUCUUCGGAUCGUAAAACUCUGUUAUUAGGGAAGAACAAACGUGUAAGUAACUGUGCACGUCUUGACGGUACCUAAUCAGAAAGCCACGGCUAACUACGUG
rnacentral:rRNA from 1 species